rnacentral:piRNA from 1 species
AUAUGUUGGAAUUGCUUUUAAAAGGU